AGGAACUUGACCGUGCAUGCGCCGUAGUACGACUAUGUCAUGCAGAAAAUGAGGAGCAUUGGAAGAACAGGACUGCUUUCAAGAAAGCCAUGGGUGACUGCAUGCUCAAAGCGGGCAGCUACUAUGACACUGUGCACCCGGAUUUCAAAGAGAAGUACAAUGUUGUAUUCGGAGAAAUACUGGCCAAAUUUAAC